rnacentral:rRNA from 1 species
CUUCGGUGAGGAGCGGCGGACGGGUGAGUAACGCGUGGGAACAUACCCUUUACUACGGAAUAGCCAUUGGAAACGAUGAUUAAUACCGUAUACGCCCUUCGGGGGAAAGAUUUAUCGGUAAAGGAUUGGCCCGCGUUAGAUUAGAUAGUUGGUGGGGUAAUGGCCUACCAAGUCUACGAUCUAUAGCUGGUUUGAGAGGAUGAUCAGCCACACUGGGACUGAGACACGGCCCAGACUCCUACGGGAGGCAGCAGUGAGGAAUAUUGGACAAUGGGGGAAACCCUGAUCCAGCCAUGCCGCGUGAGUGAUGAAGGCCUUAGGGUCGUAAAGCUCUUUCGCUAGGGAAGAUAAUGACGGUACCUAGUAAAGAAACCCCGGCUAACUCCGUGCCAGCAGCCGCGGUAAUACGGAGGGGGUUAGCGUUGUUCGGAAUUACUGGGCGUAAAGCGUGCGUAGGCUGAUUAGUCAGUCAGAGGUGAAAUCCCAGGGCUUAACCCUGGAACUGCCUUUGAUACUGCUAGUCUAGAGUAUGAGAGAGGUGAGUGGAAUUCCAAGUGUAG